CAGUUGUCCAGUGUAUUGUCGAACUCUCCUAACAUAUACCAAGUUUCCAUAAGCAGUAGUGGACAUCUGGAUUCUCUGCUGUGUUGCAUGACAUUGGCUCUUCCAGGCCUGCAGGGGACGCUUCCCACCUUGUCAUGAAGCAGCAAGAACGCCCUCCCCCAGAUGCUGAGAAGAUGCAGGCUCUUGGAUCUCCUGGCCAAGGAGAAGACUUUGGGCCAGACAGACUUCUCGUCUUCAUACAUUGCCAGGUCUCAGAGAGUUGGCACUUCCUGACUUGGUGUGGCUGUGUAAUUGCAUCUCAGCUGGUGAAGCAAUGGCACAUGAGGUGGACACUGCUACCAGGUUUGGCCAUUGAACCCUGUGCCCAUGUCACCCUUGGAAGUCACAAGGUGAAGCCACCAGAGCCUCUGUCAGCUAGAAGAACACUCAUGGCUGUGGCUGUGAUGGGAUUCUUCCCUGAGAAGGCUUUGUUCCAGAAGCUCGUCCCGGAAGCUGGAUGGUGAUGUGGAGAGGCAAUGAGAUCAUUAAGAGACAGAGCCUUGUGGCAAGUAAGUGGGUCACUGAUGGCCCUGUCUUCAGAAAAGAUUAGUACUCAUCUCAAGGGAUACAUCUGUCCUUCCAAGAAUGAGUUGCUAUAAAAGGACCCUGCCUGCUCCUGCAUCCACUGACUUCCUACUUUGCGUUGCAUGUGGGUGUCAUUGUGACGCCACUCACCAUGAGGUCAUCACUGGAGACUCAAUUAAUAGGCCGUUCAGUCUUGACCUCUUAGACUCAAAGACUGAGUUAAUAAACACCCUCCUUUAUGAAAUGUGUCUUUGGACCUUUCCUUAUAGGAACAAA
rnacentral:lncRNA from 1 species